rnacentral:misc_RNA from 1 species
CGGUGACACCACCCAUAAAGCCACCAUCACCACCAACUGAAACACCAUGCCCUCCUCCUCCACCACCUCCGGCGCCAUGUCCACCUCCACCGCCGAAGCAAGAGACUUGCCCCGUUGACACUCUCAAGCUAGGAGCAUGUGUUGAUGUCCUAGGUGGUCUAGUGCACAUUGGUAUUGGCAGUAGCGCUAAGGACGCUUGCUGUCCAGUGCUUCA